GUUUGUGUUUUGAUGGAUUGAUUGAUUGAUUUCCUUUGGACCGUCUGAUCAUAUAUAUAUAUAUAUAAGGCCCGCUGAUGUUGCAUGUCUUAUUGAUCAGAAAACCUAUUUAUCUAUUUUCUCAGAUUUUUGCUAUUUUUCUCUUCUUUCUAUUAAAUAAAAUCACCAGAAAAUAAGUUACCACAUCGUUUCAGUGCUUUACUAUAGGACUCCAAGAGUCGCAUCUGAAAUUCCCUAAUAACUGUCGGCCUAAAUGAGUCGUCCUUCCCGUAACGUUAGUUCCUCACCAGUCACCAGGAAAAAAAAAGCAAAAUAUCAACCGAAUUUUUUCCCUUUCGAUUCACAUGCCAUACAAAAAAUUUAGCCGGUAGUAUCUGCCCUCUCCUUUUUCUUUUCCCUUUUCCGCUUUACAGUUACAUCUAAAAGUCUUUUUUGGUCCCUUUGUCCCCAUUAUGUUUGCAUCUUUUGAUUCGCUGGAAUUUGGGUUUAACAUGGGCUUGCUUUGUUUUGCAGUUCAUUAUUUUGCUGGUUGUCAGUGUUGUUGGUAAUUUUAUUGUUUAUAUUUUACCAUUCUGAUUGCAACUUUGUUGUUCAAAUUCGUCUUUUUGAUUUGUUUAACCGAAUCACUUAUUGGCUAAUCUCCCGCUGAAUUCCGCUUUCCACACUUUACAAUUCACUUAUUGGCUAAUUGUCCUGUUGAAUUCCUCUUUGUAGGUUUAAGAAUUGCUCUCUGCGAUCAACUAUUGCUUCUCUCCUUCAACAACUUGUGCUUUCUUCUUCAACUGCUCUUUCUAAAUUUGUUUAGUUAUUUUGGUGAAACAAUUCACUUAUCAUUAUUAUCGCAUUGAAUAAGUUGCUAUUCCCUCUUGUGUACAGAUAAUUUAUAGCUUUGUAGCAGAGAUGUGGACGAGUGAAGAAUCGGGUCCUACAGAGAUCACUCUUGAAAGUUCUAAUGGUUCAGUUACACUCGAGCAAAUAUCAUUAGAACGGUAGAAGGCUAUUCGGAUGUAACUGUUUUGAGACACUUUCAAAGUGUUGCUAACUAACCGAGAAGCAAUCACACCAGUGAAAGUGUUCAACUUCUUUCCACGAGAUUAAAGCAGUUUUCCCACUAACAAGGACAUGGGAAUCCUGAUACUCACAUUGGUUAUUGGAUAUCGCAGCUUUUUCAGAGUUGACUUUGGUAGAAUUCAAGAGAUGAUUGAAGAAAUUCGAUGAGAACAAGGAUGGAGAAAAUAAGCGAAUAAGAUCUUACAGGGGCGAUCCAUUUGUCGACCAGAGGCUGGUUCUACUGACGCUAAUGGCAAUGGAUAUUGGUGAGGAUGAAAUCGUCAACCUCAACGAGUUCGCGCUGAAGCACUCGAGUAUUAGGAUCGCCGCACCUUAUUAAUUUUCAAGCUAAGUCUUUUUGUUUAUAUUUUGAUUAUUAUGGCAGAAUGUUGUUUGCUUCAUUUGAGUUUUUCUUUUUUGUUUUCCUCAAUGUGAAUUUAAUAACUGUAAACGUCUCCCAUUUUGGUAUUCUUUAGCGUUGUAUACUUUCGAGCAUCAAAGAACAAUACCUAAAUAAUGUAAAAGAUAUUGUAAGCGAGUCAACAAUCCAAGAAUUUUUCAGUGUUCUCAUGCGAUAUUAAAUAUGUCGAGACUCAACAAUUUCAGUAGCUGGUUUACAUUUGACAUUUUGUCCAAAAAGUUACUGAGUACCAAAAAACCAAAAAAAAAAAAAAUAACACUCCUAAUGAUGAAAUUUUCAAAAUUAUAUAGUAACAAUCAAAUCUAUUAAACUUGAAAUCAAAUAUAUUUUGCUUUGACGACUAAUAUAUUUAUGAUAGUCGGAUAACAG